CCCUUCAGCGUGCACUUGUCGAGCAUCGUAGAAAGCAAACCCGACUUUUGUUCUAGAGAUCUCUUCGACGACAAACCCAUGUUGCUCCAGAGCUCUUCAACGACAAAGUCGAUUCGGCGCCUCACCGUCGCACACCUCGCCUUCCCCUCGUCGUCGCACACCUCGCCUUACCUCGCCGCCGCACACCUCGCCUUACCUCGCCGCCGCACUCCUUACCAGAACUUGAAUCAAUGGUAACGUGCCAAUUGUAUAUAUUUUUUGUCGAUUUUUAUCAUUAUUCUGGAAAUUAGGGUUUGAUCUAAAUUUGGUGUGGCUGUGCUUCAGCCAAAACUCACGGAUUAGGCUGAGAUUGAGAUAUAUGGGAGGAUUUGUCGACGGAUUUCGGGGAGAGAGGCGUGGGAUGGCAGGGAGGGGAAGGGAGAGGGAGGAGUGAGGCUGCCAAAAAGGGGUUAGGGUUGAUUUUCUCUCCUCAAAUCAAUUGUUGGUGUCGGUGAUUGAACGAUCAUUGGUUAGAGGGGAACUUUCAUUAACUUUGUUUCGGAACCGGAAUGGGGUCGAUGGGACCAUGCUCUGUUGCACGUUCAGAUGAGUGAUUUCAGGGAUUUGGGGUAGGGAGAGUGAUUUCAGGGAUUGGUAAUCCCAUCCCGUGUUUUCCCCUCAUCUCUGUCACACUCAACCUCUCUCUAAUCCUUUCUCUUUCACUCUCUUUCAGACUCUUCCUUUCUCCCAACUCUCCAUCUCUCAACUUUAGUGCUAACCCUAAUUUGUUCUUUCAUUCCUCAAUUUUCUCCAUCCGAGCAAUGAAAAAUCGAACUGGGUUUUCAGAUUAUUGAUGCUUCACGGACAGAGAAUGACCAGAUGAAAAAAGAGGGAAACAUGGAUUAUAUAUGCACGAAGGGCACCACAACAAAUGUGUGAAUCUUCCUGCACCACCAGUCUCCGCAACGUUUUCCAAAACCCGCUUGACCGAAGGACAAGGAGUUGGACCCUGGAUCUAACGACUUUCUGGAAGCUCUACAAAUCAAUCUUCCUUUAUUUUCUAACCCAGCGUCCUUUCAUUUCAUCUUCGUUCUGGAGCCCUCCCUGUUUUCCACAUCUCCUCUCACACUACCUAAAGCCGAAACCAAACCCAGCUAUGCAGGAAUCAAAUCACAAGUCUCCGACACCCACAAAGUGGUGCAUAUCUCGAUUGACAAGGAUGAACAGAAGCGGAUAUAACAACAGUGAGACCAAUAUGAGAUCCAACAGAAAAAAAAAAAUAGCGGCGGAGAAGCCGAGGGCUACGGAUUCAAAAGGAAAAGGUAUGAGCCCUGGCUCUGUACUAAUAUUGACUUGGAUUAGAUGAAUUUUUGAGUUCUUUGCAUCCGUGAAUGAAGUUUGUGAUCUCUGUGUGAUCUCAUUCACUGAUCCCUGGAUCUUGAAUUUGUCUAAUAUGCUCAUGGAUGUGCUCUGUUUGUUGUCAUGUACAAAUUGGUGAAUGUUGAACAAAAUGCUUGCAUGUUGGAUCUGUGAUUUGGGCUUGAACAAAAGUACCUCUGUGCUGCCUGGAUCCUCCACUCCCAAACUUAGAAUGAAAGUCUGCUUGAAUCAGGACUUAUCGAAUCAAGGCAGCUGCAAGGAAAUUUGAGCUUUGGCAUGUAUAGAUACGAUUUUGCAACGAAGCUAGAUGCCAUCAAAUAGGCAAAAUCAUAUCGGCUACAAAGUGCAAUGAAUGUUAUAGGUUACUAAGUUUCGCCAUAUGCCUUCAUUGUGGCAUUGCCCUAUCUGUCGACAAUUUGCUUCACAAACCUCAACGGUUAGCUUCCAUACAAUAUGAUGCAAGUUUGAGGAUAUCUCUACAUCUUAAUUUAUGCUCUCUGGUUGCUUCAAGUUUGUAAUUUUAAGUGCUACACUGCCACUUGAUUUGAUUAUAAAAAUGUAAAACAAAAUCCAUCAAUGAUUUACAAAUUUGUAUUCGAUUUUU